AGCAGCCGCGGUAAUUCCAGUUCCAAUAGCGUAUAUUAAAGUUGUUGCAGUUAAAAAGCUCGUAGUUGAAUUUCGGGAUCAGUACGCCGGUCGUGCCUCCGGUAUGUACUGGUGUCACUGAUUCCUCCCUUCUGAAGAACCAUCAUGCCAUUAAUUUGGUGUGGUGGGGAAUCAGGACUGUUACUUUGAAAAAAUUAGAGUGUUUAAAGCAGGCUCGCGCUUGAAUACAUUAGCAUGGAAUAAUGAAAUAGGACGUUUAUCCUAUUUUGCUGGUUUCUAGGAUUGACGUAAUGAUUAAUAGGGAUAGUUGGGGGCAUUAGUAUUCAAUUGUCAGAGGUGAAAUUCUUGGAUUUAUUGAAGACUAACUACUGCGAAAGCAUUUGCCAAGGAUGUUUUCAUUAAUCAAGAACGAAAGUUAGGGGAUCGAAGACGAUCAGAUACCGUCGUAGUCUUAACCAUAAACUAUGCCGACUAGGGAUCGGAUGAUGUUAAUUUUUUAAUGUACUCAUUCGGCGUUACG
rnacentral:rRNA from 1 species